rnacentral:rRNA from 1 species
AGGACGAACGCUGGCGGCGCGCUUAACACAUGCAAGUCGAGCGAGAACCAGGCCUUCGGGCCUGGGAAAGCGGCGAACGGGUGAGUAACACGUGGGUAACCCACCCUUGGUACCGGGAUAGCCCGAGGAAACUCGGAUUAAUACCGGAUGGCCCAACAGCUCUUCGGGGCGGUUGGAAAAGGUAGCUUCGGCCUCCGACCAAGGACGGGCCCGCGGCGGAUUAGCUUGUUGGUGAGGUAACGGCUCACCAAGGCGACGAUCCGUAGCUGGUCUGAGAGGACGAUCAGCCACACUGGGACUGAGACACGGCCCAGACUCCUACGGGGAGGCAGCAGUGGGGGAAUCUUGCGCAAUGGGCGAAAGCCUGACGCAGCGACGCCGCGUGGGGGAAGAAGGCUUUCGGGUUGUAAACCCCUUUCAGGAAGGACGAAGCCACUCGGGUUAAUAGCCCAGAGGGUGACGGUACUUCCAGAAGAAGCCCCGGCUAACUACGUGCCAGCAGCCGC